rnacentral:rRNA from 1 species
AGCGAACGCUGGCGGCAGGCCUAACACAUGCAAGUCGAACGAACCUUUCGGGGUUAGUGGCGGACGGGUGAGUAACACGUGGGAACGUGCCUUUAGGUUCGGAAUAACUCAGGGAAACUUGUGCUAAUACCGAAUGUGCCCUUCGGGGGAAAGAUUAAUCGCCUUUAGAGCGGCCCGCGUCUGAUUAGCUAGUUGGUUGAGGUAAUGGCUCACCAAGGCGACGAUCAGUAGCUGGUCUGAGAGGAUGAUCAGCAACAUUGGGGCUGAGACACGGCCCAAACUCCUACGGGAGGCAGCAGUGGGGAAUCUUGCGCAAUGGGCGAAAGCCUGACGCAGCCAUGCCGCGUGAAUGAUGAAGGUCUUAGGAUUGUAAAAUUCUUUCACCGGGGACGAUAAUGACGGUACCCGGAGAAGAAGCCCCGGCUAACUUCGUG